rnacentral:rRNA from 1 species
UACAGAGGUCUCAAGCGUUGUUCGGAUUCAUUGGGCGUAAAGCGCACGUAGGCGGGCUCUUAAGUCGGUGGUGAAAUCCUGGAGCUCAACUCCAGAACUGCCUUCGAUACUGAGAGUCUUCGAGUCCGGGAGAGGUGAGUGGAACUGCGAGUGUGGAGGUGAAAUUCGUAGAUAUUCGCAAGAACACCAGUGGCGAAGGCGGCUCACUGGCCCGGUACUGACGCUGAGGUGCGAAAGCGUGGGGAGCAAACAGG